AAGAUAUGCAAACAAGCUAAGUGUCCAUUGAUGGGUGAAUGGAUAAAGAAAAUGUAUGUGUGUGUACAUAUACAUAUAUUUUUUUAGUUUCUUUUGCAAGCUCACCUUCCUCAAAUUUCUUGCUAAAUGAUGUAAUUCCUCAAAAACAAAAAAAAAUGUAGAACAGGGUAAUUUCUUAACGAUGUUUCCAGAUAUGUCUGCAGCAUAGAGAAAUAUUUUAGAAGACACCUCCUUCACAGAGGUAAUGAAAUGGAAGCAUUUCCAAACAGAAAACAUGGAAUUUUAGACAAAUUCUGUUUGGAUAAUCUUCAGAUGAUAAUGGUCAGUGUGGAUACAGCUAUUUCCUAAUACAGUGUUUGUACAUCUGGACAUAGGAUUUGGAAUACUUGAUGAGUGGUGUUUUUUUCCAGGGCUCCCAAAGGAAAUCUUCCAGAAAAUACAAACUCUGAACAGGAAUGGAAAGGCCCAACUCUGAACAGGAAUGGAAAGCAGUUCUGAAGGCUGAGAAGUCCAAGACCAAGAUGCUGGCAGGCUUGGUGUCUGGAAGCGCAUGCAGGGGACAGAUGCUGGGUUGUGGUCUGGAGAUCUGCUGAGGACCCGGGUGCUCAGGAUGGCAGGAGGUUGGGAAUCCUGUGUGGACUCACUGCUUGGAGCUUAACACUGAACCUGCUUUCUGGCUUCUGACCUCCCCAAAGCCUGCAAGCCCACUGCAGCCUGGACCUCAGGUGAGACUAAAAUCCUCCUUUCUUUGGUACCAAAAUCACCACUCUUACAGUAAUUGUGAAGUCCCAGAUCAAACAUUUGGAUCUUCUUACUUGGGAAGUAUCUUUUGGACAUCAAAGGCAGAUCAGCUAGAACACUAUCAAGAUGAUGCAAUUGAGAGGUAAGGGUACGGUCAAAAGGAGCCCAGAGGUUGGUUGUAUCUGUUAAAAGCAUUUAAAAAACAACAGAAAACCCCACAACAAAACCCUCAACUCAGAAACAUCCUGAAUACUCAGUGUUUAGGUGCUAAAAUAUUAAAAGAUUAAUAACAUGAGUCAUUUAACUGUUUACGUUCUCUUAUUGGACCAGUCUAGAUGGAAGACAGUAGUAAGCUGAAGGUAAAAAUUUCAAUUGCUUUCUUACUAGUCUGCUAAAAGUAUCUUUUAAAAGCACAGGGUAUAUAUGAAUUUUGUAGACUUUCGCAUUUUCACAAUUUUAGCAAAUUCCAGUCUAUGUCUCUGACAGUUUUUUUAUAGAUUUGUCCUACUUUUUUGUGCAUUUUAUGCAUAUCCUUUAAAAACAUAUACUCGAAAUAGAGCUCCUAAUUAAUAUACAACAUGAGUUUCUUCACAUACUUUCAUCUUAACCCAAUUUCCCUUUAGAGCCCUUGGCCAUGAGCUGAGGACAAAGGUUACUGUAACUUUUUGAGAUAUUGUUUCCUGAUACUUUGCUCAUUUAUUUUUCUAUUUUAGAAUACUGUGUGGCAAUUCUCAUGAUACAGCCAAACCUAACUGUGACCUAUUCUCAGUACCUGACCAAUGCAUUAAAGAAAGAUUCUCAAACAAGAUCUGAGUCUCUGGGAUUGACACCUAUGAAGACUCAAAAUUGAAGAACUAUCAGGACUGAGUAUUCUAGUGCCUGCUCUACUGGGUAAAUUAAAUCCAAAAGAACUGGGGGAAGAAAUGCUUCCAUGUUUUGCCUAUAUAAACCCAAUAUUUAGUUAGUUACCUGUUUCACAAGAACCUGUGACUAAGGUGAAGAGAAAUGAUCUCUUCCUUUAUACAAUCACCUAAUUCCUUAUAGCUUUCUAAGUCAGUUUUCAAUUAAGCACCAUUUCCUACAUGAACUGUUACUCCUACCAAAUGCAACUGUUACAUAGGGCUGAACUGGACAUAAUUUAAACAUUUUCAUGAAAAAAACCACUAAUUGGCUUAGCACUACACCCUUACGGGGAAGGAGAAGCAUUUACAGAAAUACAAUUUGUGAAGAAUAAACGUAUUUUGGAACCUGAGCCAAAGGUUUCUCACCAAUACCUUAAUAAGUCACCAUGCAGGUUGUUUUCACAGGCAACAACACAGCCAGGUCAACUGUUGCUCCUGGCAACUUCCAUUGUCCCAAAAUAUGUGGAAGAUGGAGAAGCCAAUGACUGAAAUCCACAGUUAGGAAUACAGGCCAAACCUCAACAAACUGCUACUGGAAGCAACUGGAUACCAUAAUAUUAAACAUAGACAUGUGAAAACAGAAUGAGCACACAAAGAAAUGAACAGCUGCUAAGAUCACAAUGCUCAGAGUCAGACCCAAUGAGGGUAUUACCACACACACACACAGAUACAUCUCACCAUACCUGUUUACAAUCCCAGGCCCUUGCUCUCAAAUAAAUAUAUUGAACAUUUACAACAGAAUGAAUGC